UGGACCAAUGAUGAGAGUGUGUCAGGAUCCAAGGAAUUUGAUUAAUCCAAUCCUGUGCACCGUGAUUCAUA
rnacentral:snoRNA from 1 species